rnacentral:rRNA from 1 species
GAGGAUGCGAGCGUUAUCCGGAUUUAUUGGGUUUAAAGGGUGCGUAGGCGGUCCGGUAAGUCAGCGGUAAAAUAGCGGGGCUCAACCCCGUCGAGCCGUUGAAACUGCCGGACUCGAGAGAGAGAGAAGUAGGCGGAAUGCGCAGUGUAGCGGUGAAAUGCUUAGAUAUUGCGCAGAACUCCGAUUGCGAAGGCAGCCUACCGGCUCUUGUCUGACGCUGAGGCACGAAAGCGUGGGUAUCGAG